AUUGAACGCUGGCGGCAGGCCUAACACAUGCAAGUCGAGCGAGCGGCGGACGGGUGAGUAAUGUAUGGGGAUCUGCCCAUCAGAGGGGGAUAACACUUGGAAACAGGUGCUAAUACCGCAUACUGAUGGAUGAACCCAUAUGGGAUUAGCUAGUAGGUGGGGUAAAGGCUCACCUAGGCGACGAUCUCUAGCUGGUCUGAGAGGAUGAUCAGCCACACUGGGACUGAGACACGGCCCAGACUCCUACGGGAGGCAGCAGUGGGGAAUAUUGCACAAUGGGCGCAAGCCUGAUGCAGCCAUGCCGCGUGUAUGAAGAAGGCCUUAGGGUUGUAAAGUACUUUCAGCGGGGAGGCGUUACCCGCAGAAGAAGCACCGGCUAACUCCGUGCCAGCAGCCGCGGUAAUUC
rnacentral:rRNA from 1 species